rnacentral:lncRNA from 1 species
AUUCAAAUUUAGCUUUAGAACAUAGAAAAAAAUCACUUGGAAGAAAUCACUAGCAACAAUCACAACCCGAUUAAGGGCGAAUAUAGUUGACAAGGAAUUAAAUUGCCAUAUCUUUGUGUAUGAACAACAAAAAAAAAAGAAGGAUAAACUGCCCCAAAUAUUCAUUAAAAAAAAGCCUUAUAAGAGAGUUCUUUAUACCAUCACUGCCUUACAUCAGAGGGGUGGAGAGGGGAGUGAGAGUAGAUAGGAUAAUAAAUAGAAAUUAAAUAAAGUAGAAGUUGACUAAUAGGAAGAGCACGUAGCUAGGUAGCUAUUUCACAAAAUAUCUAACUACUGCUGAAAAGUAGGGGACUAAAUAAAAAUAAAAGCGGUUUAUUGCAAAGAGGUAGGAAAUGUUGAAAGGAGGUGAGGUAAGUAAGAGAGAGAUUAGAAAAUGGAAAGAGGGUUUCGCUAAAUCGUUUUAUAAAAAGCAAUAAGGAUUAUUAAGAAAAAGGUAGUAUUUUAUCACACAAAAAAUACCGUUGCAAAUGCAAGAUAAUUAACUAAUAGAAGAAAACUUUUCAGAACAGAACUUAUCUGAUCACUUCCAACAUAUAACAAAAAUAGAUAAUUCUCACAAAACAAAACAACAAAUAUAUCCUAAUUUGAUCAUUUACAUAUUCAUUCUUUUGAGCCACUAUACUAACAUAACAUUCCUCAAGAAAACUAUGCUCUCGAGAAAGAUUGCUAUACUGUGCAGCUAGAAUGGUGUAAUUGGUUGUUUGAUGAUUAUAUAAAUUUUUGUAUAAGAGGGAGUCAUCAUAAUUAAUAUCCUUGAAUUGCAAGUCGCAUUCUUCUUUAAGCCUCUUCAUAGCUAAGUGCGCAGUAUCCUGCUCAGCACCAGUAGCAUGCAAUAGGGAACUGGGAGCUUGAACAUCGAACAGUUUGGACGACAGUUUUGCUGCGUGGAAUUUGCAGAUCUACAUAUCCAACGAAUUUGCCUUCGGCAUCGGCGGUGACUACAAUCUGUGGCACGCCUAGGCCGAGUUGCUCGUAAACCUCACCAAGCAUCC